GACGAACGCUGGCGGCGUGCUUAACACAUGCCAGUCGAACGGAAAGGCCCUGCUUUUGUGGGGUGCUCGAGUGGCGAACGGGUGAGUAACACGUGAGUAACCUGCCCUUGACUUUGGGAUAACUUCAGGAAACUGGGGCUAAUACCGGAUAGGAGCUCCUGCUGCAUGGUGGGGGUUGGAAAGUUUCGGCGGUUGGGGAUGGACUCGCGGCUUAUCAGCUUGUUGGUGGGGUAGUGGCUUACCAAGGCUUUGACGGGUAGCCGGCCUGAGAGGGCGACCGGCCACAUUGGGACUGAGAUACGGCCCAGACUCCUACGGGAGGCAGCAGUGGGGAAUAUUGCACAAUGGGCGGAAGCCUGAUGCAGCAACGCCGCGUGCGGGAUGACGGCCUUCGGGUUGUAAACCGCUUUCGCCUGUGACGAAGCGUGAGUGACGGUAAUGGGUAAAGAAGCACCGGCUAACUACGUG
rnacentral:rRNA from 1 species